UACGUAGGGGGCUAGCGUUGCCCGGAAUCAUUGGGCGUAAAGAGCGUGUAGGCGGCCCGGUAAGUCCGCUGUAAAAGUCAAAGGCUCAACCUUUGAAUGUCAGUGGAUACUGCCAGGCUAGAGUCCGGAAGAGGCGAGUGGAACUCCUGGUGUAGCGGUGGAAUGCGCAGAUAUCAGGAAGAACACCAACGGCGAAGGCAGCUCGCUGGGACGGUACUGACGCUGAGACGCGAAAGCGUGGGGAGCGAACAGG
rnacentral:rRNA from 1 species